AAUGACUUGAUUGGAUAGAUUAGAGGGGUAUAUAUAAAGGGACUCUAGAUUAGAGCUCAAUUCGUUCCAACCAACCCACAACUUCAACUACUUCACACCUCAGAUGUGUCACUGACUUAUGACAAGUCAGACUGACUGUUUUAUAUUCAUUAAAAAUAGAAGUAAGAUCUCGCAAAUAGUGUUCUAAUCCUUUGAGCAGCGGUGCCCGCCAAAUUCUCCAGAAAGGGUCUUAAGUAUAAGCUGGUAUAUUAUACCUCUUUUGGAAAAUGUUUACAGGUUCUAUGUUUGUGACCUUUGCCACCUGCACCCGUCAGAAAGUGCUAUUCCGAUUCUUUGCACCAGCAUUAACAGUCGAACUAAGCACAUUUAUUGCUCCGCCUUCGAUCAGUAAACUUAGAAGUGAUUCAACUUUCUUCCAAUUAGAUUCAUUCAUAUUAACUGAAAAUCAGCAUCCCCUUCCUUCAGCAGACUUGACAGUUUGUCAUAAUGGAAGCACUCCGCCAAAAACUUACAAAAAUGAAGGAGGAAGGUCUACAGCCACAGCUGCAAAACAAAGGAAAGGUUCCUCUUCUUAAAGGAAUACCAGCGUUCAAGAGCCCAACAAAGAAAGCUCCAAAAGCUCAAAGAGCUCAAAGAAGUUGAACUUCUUAAAUUAGCCAGAGAGGUUUGCCAAGGUAGGCAUUUGGAAAUUAAACUGGAAAAGUGUGAUCAUAAAAAACGUAACUUCAGACAACGCAACAAAGAUCAACAUUUUCAUGAAUCCUUGUCUGACGACUCAAGUGACAUCAGUGAACCUGAAGAAGGCUCUGUCGAUAGUGACUACGAACCUUCGGACUCUGAAGAUGAUGCUGGUUUCGAGAAGGAGGUCGAAAGAUCCGGCAGUUCUGAUACUGACUGCGUAGCUUCGAGCUCUGAAGAUGAUGAAGGUCUCGAAAAGGAGGUUCAAUCUAAAAUCAAUAGUAGUAAUAAGUGGGCUCAACCUGUUCUAGUAUUGCAACGAUGUCAGAAUCCUCGUCUAAGCUUGACCCAGUCAGCAGAAAAAGUAGGGAAAGCAAAAGUUGGAGCGUACUUAAAUGACUUUAAAAAAAUUCCCUUGGUUAUCCUUGAAAGAAAUGAUUGGUGUGGAAAGGGAAAUUCAUUUUACACUCACAAUUAGGAAAUGAAAAUAAGGAUAAACUGCCUGGUAGGCGAAAAAGCAAUUGUGAAACGCGGUUUCGCACAAUUAAGAAUCAGAAAAACUUUAGCAUUGAAAAUUAUCCACCUACUAAUUCCGACACGGAUGAAUGUGAAGUCUUCAAGCGCACCUCCAAUAGACUGAGUUCAAGGAAGGAAGAAAAAGAGCAGACAAGUUUUCUUCUCGUACUGGCUUACAAAUCUAAGAUCAUGCAGACGGCAGGGUCCCAAGUAAACCUCUAAAUUUUGAGGACCUCUUUGAUAGAGAAAAAGAGCUACCAAUAAUGUUUGAUAAAAGAAAGAAAAUUUUAUUUCCAGCUGAAAAUUGGGACUUUCUCUUGAUACGUUGCCGCCUGCCUUGAAAUAAAUCUUUUUUUACCAUUUUUCUCAAUAUUUUUACUUUUGUAGCCUGGUACUUCCUCUAUUUUGAUUGAUUAUGCAGGGUGGUUUUGCAUCGGCAAAUACUCAUAAGCUAGUUUUCUAGAAAAAUCGAUGACAUUCCUGUAUUUCAAGAGGUAUGUCUCUACACAUUUCUACUAUUGUAUCGGAUGUAUGAAGCACUUUCAUGCUCAGCCAUGGUAAUGUGUAAUUAGCAGGAAAAAGUAUGUAAUGGAAUUACCGCAAUGAAGUUAUGUAAAUAACCUCUUGAGACCCUAGCAAUAAUAAAUAAUGUGCAUCCUAGUCCAAUUUUCUUUUUUAAAAAAAAUCUAGAACAUCAUAUUGCUGAAAGCUGAGAAGAAAACUUUCUGCCAUCCUUCAAAGGACUCCAUUAGGCAUUAAUACAUAUAUUUAUGUAUUCAGCAUAUAUUUAUUUAUUUAGAAAAUUUUCUUUUUUUCUAUUAAGAAUUAUUCCGUCACAGUGAGUUUAUUAUUGAAUUUUCGUGCAUCGUUAUUUUGUCACUCAUGUACCUAAACUGCCCUGCUAAGCAAAAGCGCUUGUGAAGAAUACAUUUUUAGAGAAAAAUGACUUAAACGCUGGUUCAAUUGCAAAGCAUCUUUUGGACUGGUCUCAUUUUCAUCCUGAUUUUUCUCUUGUUAUUUCACUUGUAACAUUUUUGCAUAAUUUUACUCCCCCAAACACCUACAAUUAUAUAUGAAAAUAAUAGGAGAGGUCUCAAUAAGGGCCUUUUUUGGCCCCUCUAGAAUCUGGAAAUUUACGAGGGUUUUCCAAGUUAGCUCAAUGCAGUUAACAGAAAUAAUCAUGAUUUGGUCCACUGGAUACAUAUUAAACGGUUGCCUAGACAUAGGUCUGCAGACGCAUUUUAGCGGAAAAUGAGUGUUUUUCUAUCACUCCGAGGCUUCUUUGACACCAAGCACAUCGUCUAACUAAAACAAGCUUUUAAUAUGUUAUCAAGGAGGUUUUAGGACACGUUUUAACCCUGGUUUGGUUUUAGCUAGAUGAUGUGCUCAUAGUUAAAAAAAAAACUUUAUCAAAAGUCGACUUUUGAGGGACAUCCGCAAAAAUCUUAGAGAAACAUGUCUCUCCAACUGUAUGAGCUUGGCUAAGUCAAUACUUUUGGUCUCUCUUGGGAACUUUCCGUGCUCUGAUGGGGGAUUAUCCUGUAAAGUGUAAUUAAGUUCAAGUAUUUGAAGAAAAAAAGUUCUAAAAUUUUGAAUGAGCUUUUUGCUAAGUACAGAGUAUAUUACACAGCAAGUUUCAUAUGAAGAAGCUUACUUACUUGAAAAGAAAACAAAACAAUAAUGCAGACUCUAUAAAGCUUUUGUAAUCAACUCAACAGUUCAAGCCUAUGUGGAAGACUAACUAUGAUAAUGGGUUUUUAAUUUGAAGCUGUGCGUGCCUAUCUCUUUAAUUCUUAGAUAAAGAAAAGCUAGCAGUCAAUACUACAAUCUGAUGCCUUAGAAAAUUGUUUCCCUGCUUAGGGGGUGUUUAGUUGUGAUCUAACAGUUGUAGCAUAAAUCACUGAUCACUACCUUGUUCGUGGUUGCUGCUCAACAAAGUUUAUACACAAACUAGAGAGAUCGACUUCAAGUGAUACAUUCACUAGGUGUGCUCACCUCUAUUUUUGAAUAACUACUAUUUAGAAAUAGAAGUAACAAAAAAAAGCUACCUGUAAGAAUGCUUCGUUUGUCCUCGUUAAAAGUGGCUGACUCGACACAUAGUUUCACGCCUGCCCACUGAAUGCAGGGGUGUUCACGGACAACUUCAUUACAGGCGAAGGCAUUUCCUCCUUCUUCAAGUUCCUGAAGAGCAUUUUUCACUGCACCAUUCUUCACAUUAUUGAUGUUGUAAGGGAGAUUUGGACGUUUUGGACGAGGGGACUGAAAAACUCGAGGACUGGCGAUUUUAUUCAGGAUGGCUAUUUGUAGGACCUGCCCUACGAAUUUGUACCUUUCGUCCGCCAAAUUGUGCAUGUUUAAGACUAAGAGUUUGUCAUAAUCAGCUCCCUCAAAAAGGGAUUGAUCGUUUUUAGUUCAUUCAGUAACAAUCUAGGUAAUCUAUUUUAAGAGCGCCGCAAUCUGUUCUCUGAGCUUCACCUGAGAAUGUUACUCUCAAAUCUAUUAAGACGGAAAAGGAAGGCUCUCUGGAUAGAGCAUAGGGUUGUGCUGAAAUGAUGUCCCUGUUAAUUGUCAAUCUCCGCUUUUUUAAAAGCAGCUCAUAAUGCUCCAUGAAAGCUACUGGUGAACUGAGAUUGUGUUGGUUCUGUUCCUUUUUGUUGCUCUUUUUAAGGCUACGUCUUGGUACUUUCUCCAUGAAGACAUCUUCAUUAGAAGAAAGAUAUGGCUUGAUGUAGCCUCCGUAAGGAAGUCAUCAUCAUUGAGUUCGAGCAAGGCUGGAGGAUCAUGUAAAGGCAAUUUAUCUUGAGGCAUUUCAUCUCUUAUUUUUUCUCUUUAUUGAUUAUAUAGAGGACUACAUGGUAUUAACUCUAUUUUUUCUAACUACAGACUAUGAACUAAUUACAAUAUUUUAGUUGGUAGGCUGGUGUGCCAUUGGCCACCGGCCCUAUCUAUGUUACAAACUGUACGGGGCUAUACACUAGGACUAGGAUUAAGAUAAUUGAUCUAAGAUUGAUUUGCUUAAGAUAUUGGAUUAAGAUUUGGAUCACAUCUCUUAUAGUGUAAAAUUGUGUUCGCCCUUCAUCAUCAAUAUAGGAGAAGGUUUGAUUUUAAUCUUUUAUAAUGUCUUGUAUUGGUCUGAUGUAGACAAUGCUUUUUGUAUUCGCACUUAAGAAGGCACCAUCAAUCUCUUCUUCAUCGAGAUUAAAUAGUUUGAAGGAUCUUCCAUUGAAUCUAAUGAACAUAAUUUUAAUGCUUUCGGGCAGAACACUUUUGAAGCACUCGUAGGUUUUGUGUUUCGAAGCCUGGUUUGACCAGCCUCGUUCCAGGUUCCUAUGGUCCAAGACGAAUCCUGUGCUUUCUAGUCUGUCUCUGUCUUCUGACGAGAGUUCAACGGCGGAUGCUUUUCGCAGUAGAAACAUUUUCCUAUAGAAAGGUUU
rnacentral:lncRNA from 1 species